rnacentral:misc_RNA from 1 species
GAAAGCUGGAUGCGGGAAAUCCGCACGUCCGGUUUGAUGAACGGGGAAGGGAAACGGGGCGAUGCCGAAUGGCCCAAGCUACCGCGC